GGGCAUGUAGCUCAGUGGUGAAGUGCUUGCCUACCAUGUGCAAGGCCCUGAGUUUGAUUCUCAGCAUGACCA
rnacentral:tRNA from 1 species